ensembl:snoRNA small nucleolar RNA SNORD49
UUCAGUGAUGAAAACUUCAUAGGAAGUGCCGUCUGAUGCGAUAACUGACGAUGGCAAGAGCUGUUCUGAGA